UACGGGGGGGGGCAAGCGUUGUUCGGAAUUACUGGGCGUAAAGGGCGCGUAGGCGGCCUGCUAAGUCGGAUGUGAAAUCCCUCGGCUCAACCGAGGAACUGCAUCCGAUACUGGCGGGCUUGAAUCCGGGAGAGGUGAGUGGAAUUCCGAGUGUAGAGGUGAAAUUCGUAGAUAUUCGGAAGAACACCAGUGGCGAAGGCGGCUCACUGGACCGGUAUUGACGCUGAGGUGCGAAAGCGUGGGGAGCAAACAGG
rnacentral:rRNA from 1 species